rnacentral:rRNA from 1 species
AGAGUUUGAUCCGGGCACAGGACGAACGCUGGCGGCGUGCUUAACACAUGCAAGUGGAACGAUGAACCCCAGCUUGCUGGGGGGAUUAGUGGCGAACGGGCGAGUAACACGUGAGUAACCUGCCCCUGACUCUGGGAUAAGCGCUGGAAACGGCGUCUAAUACCGGAUAUGACAAUCGACGGCAUCGUCUGGUUGUGGAAAGAAUUUCGGUUGGGGAUGGACUCGCGGCCUAUCAGGUUGUUGGUGAGGUAAUGGCUCACCAAGCCUACGACGGGUAGCCGGCCUGAGAGGGUGACCGGCCACACUGGGACUGAGACACGGCCCAGACUCCUACGGGAGGCAGCAGUGGGGAAUAUUGCACAAUGGGCGCAAUCCUGAUGCAGCAACGCCGCGUGAGGGAUGACUGCCUUCGGGUUGUAAACCUCUUUUAGUAGGGAAGAAGCGAAAGUGACGGUACCUGCAGAAAAAGCACCGGCUAACUACGUGCCAGCGGCCGCUGUAAUACGUAGGGUGCAAGCGUUGUCCGGAAUUAU